UUGGAUGUCUUCAAAGGAGGUCAUUUGCCGAAACCAACAUCCAUGCUGACGGCGACUGCAAAUGCACUGAACAUGGCGGCCAAACUCAAAGCCUCAACUCAUUACAAGUCUGGGAUGACAAGUAGACCUCUCAGAGACCUGAAUGCACUGGGCCUCCUUCAUCGUGAAAUGCUGACCAGGGCCAAGAAGGUGUUUGAUGAGUUCCCGAAGGUCGGUGGUGAAGUGAUGUCGUUAACAUACAAGGCUGAUCUCAUAAAGG